rnacentral:misc_RNA from 1 species
UGGGUAUGCGCCUGUGGCUCC